rnacentral:tRNA from 1 species
GAGCCAUUAGCUCAGGGUUGGUAGAGCAUCUGCCCACUUUUAAUCAGAGGGUCGGAGCGAGGUUCCAAACCUCUGAGUCCUUCAUGGCUCACCA